rnacentral:rRNA from 1 species
GACAUAGGUCGCAAACGUUAUCCGGAAUUAUUGGGCGUAAAGGAUGCGUAGAUGGUUCAGUAAGUUACUGGUGGGAAAUCGAGGCCCAACCUCGUGGAAGUUAGUAAUACUGUUGAACUUGAGUGCAGGAGAGGUUAACGGAACUUCAUGUGGAGCGGUAAAAUGCGUAGAUAUAUGAAAGAACAUCAAUAUGGCGAAGGCAGUUAACUAUUCUGCUACUGACAUUGAGGCAUGAAAGCGUGGGGAGCAAAACAG